rnacentral:rRNA from 1 species
GUGGGGAAUAUUGGACAAUGGGCGAAAGCCUGAUCCAGCCAUGCCGCGUGUGUGAAGAAGGUCUUCGGAUUGUAAAGCACUUUAAGUUGGGAGGAAGGGCAGUAAGUUAAUACCUUGCUGUUUUGACGUUACCGACAGAAUAAGCACCGGCUAACUUCGUGCCAGCAGCCGCGGUAAUACGAAGGGUGCAAGCGUUAAUCGGAAUUACUGGGCGUAAAGCGCGCGUAGGUGGUUUUGUAAAGUGGGAGUGAAAUCCCCGGGCUCAACCUGGGAACUGCCUCCAAAACUGCAUGACUAGAGUACGGUAGAUGGUAGUGGAAUUUCCUGUGUAGCGGUGAAAUGCGUAGAUAUAGGAAGGAACACCAGUGGCGAAGGCGACUACCUGGACUGAUACUGACACUGAGGUGCGAAAGCGUGGGGAGCAAACAGGAUUAGAUACCCCAGUAGUCC